rnacentral:rRNA from 1 species
AUGGACCAUGCAACAGGUGCCAUGGGCAUCCUGCUCCCCAAGCUCGGCGAACUCCUCAAGGAGGAGUACAAACUGCAGAGAAGCGUCAAGGAUGAUAUCAAACAUCGAGAGAGAGAGCUGGAGAGCAUGCAUGCUGCCCUCAGCAAGGUCGGGGACGUGCCACGGGACCAGCUCGACGAACAAGUCAAGCUCUGGGCCAACGAGGUAAGAGACCUUUCAUUCAUAAUAGAGGAUAUCAUCGACAAGUUCCUGGUGCAUGUCGAGGGCCCUGAGCCUGAAAACAAGCCGCACAUGCUCAAACAACUGAUGAAGAAGAUGGGCGGCUUGUUCACCAAGUUCAUGAAACGCCAUGCCAUCGGCAACGAGAUCAAAAGUAUCAAGGUCAGUGUUCAGGAGGCGGCUGACCGGCGUGACCGGUACAGGGUCCACGAGGUGGUUGCUCAUCCAGAUGUUGCAACCACGGCCGACCCUCGCCUGUUGGCUCUGUACAAGGACCAAAAAGAGCUCGUUGGCAUUGAUGAUUCAUUGAAUGAGCUAACCAAUAUGCUGAGUGACGGGGAUGGUGAUGUGUCCAAGCAACUAAAGAGACUCUCUAUUUUUGGAUUCGGAGGCCUUGGCAAGACAACUCUUGCCAAAGCAGUAUAUGAUAAGCUCAAAACACAGUUCGAUUGCAGUGCUUUUGUUCCGGUAGGACGCAGCCCUAGCGUGAAGAAACUUCUCAAUGACAUUCUCUAUGGAAUUGGCAAGAAAAUGUACCCUGGUUUGGAUGAAAGGCAGCUGAUUGAUGAAAUCCGAGUAUUACUUGAGAAAAAGAGGUACUUAAUCGUCAUUGACGACAUAUGGGAUAAAAAAACUUGGGAACUAGUCAAGAGCGCUUUGGUGUGCAAUAAUUGUGGAAGCAGAAUCAUCACAACUACUCGUAUACUCGAAGUUGCCACAAGAACUGGUAAAGUAUACAGGCUACAACCACUUUCUCGUGAUUUAUCGGAGGAUUUAUUUCAUAGAAGAUUAUUUGGGGGUAAAAUAAAUCAUCCUAAUCAUCUACCGUCAGAGAUAUACAAUAAAAUUUUACAUAAAUGUGGUGGUGUACCAUUGGCUAUAAUCACAAUAGCUAGUUUGCUUGUCAGUAAACCGGUGGAGCUUUGGUCUAAGGUAUACACAUCAAUGGGUUUUGGGCAUGAAGAGAAUGAAGACGUGGAGAACACAAGAAAAAUACUUUUAUUUAGCUAUUAUGAUCUCCCUUGUCACCUAAAGACUUGCUUAUUGUAUCUGAGCAUAUAUCCUGAAGAUCAUCUGAUUGGGAAAGAUAGUUUGAUAUGGAAAUGGGUCGCCGAAGGUUUUAUCCACGAGGAACCAGGGUUAAGACUAUUUGAGAUUGGUGAAAGGUACUUCAAGGAGUUGGUGAACAAAAGCAUGAUAAUGCCGGUAGAAACACCUUAUCAUGGAAUCAUAACUGGUUGUCGUGUCCAUGACAUAAUGCUUGAUAUGAUAUGCUUAUUGUCAAAGGAAGAAAACUUUGUUACUGUAUUCGAUAGUGACAAGCAAUGUACAACUUCACAUUGCAACUCUCGUAGGCUAGUUGUUCAUCGUAGGGUCAGACCUCUGGCUAGCACAUCUACAUUACAAGCAAGGUCACUUAAUGCAAUGUGCAGAUAUGAGAUGUUGCCAUCACUUUCAUGCUUUGAAGUUUUGCGUGUCCUAGCUUUGGAUGGCCCCACUGAUUCACACAAUCCUAAUUAUCUUGAGCAUGUUGGGAAGUUAGUUCACUUGAGGUACCUCAAAUUAGCGAGCAUGGGUAUGCAUGAGCUCCCAAAGGAAAUAGGAUAUCUAAAGUUCUUGAUAGUAUUGGACUUGGCUGGGAAAAGUAGAAGUAAACUUCCAGAGAGUAUUCAUCUACUAAGUCAACUCAAGUGCUUGAACAUCAGCGAAACAAAGAUUGAAGUGCUGUAUUGGAUCGGAGAUUUGACAUGUCUAGAAGAGCUAUGCCUAGGAGCAGUUGGUAUUCACUCAAACUUUAUGACAGAAUUGGGUAAGCUGACAGAGUUGAGGAAGCUCCGCAUUUCUAAAAGUGUGACUAUAGGUGGUAAUAUUGCAAUGAAUAGUUGGGCGGAGUCUAUAGCCAAACUGAUCAAGAUCCAAGUCAUAGACAUUGAUUUUAUUCUCGUGUACAGAUUCUCCGGUCAUGUCGACAACCCCUGGGAACGAAACAUCCUCCCUCCACAACUCCGUGUGCUGCGCAUGGCCUAUCAAGAACCCGGGCUGGUGGCAACGAUUAAUCCCUCGCUUCUUCCCAACCUCUCCCAUUUACAACUAAAUGUAUACAGUCCAGAUCUGGAGGUCUUUGGAAGUUUCCGAGAGCUUGUUUCCCUUGAGUUGGUCACAUGGUCAGCUCUCCACCAUGACACCAUCGGCGGUGUAGGUGCAUUCCCCAAGCUGAGGGUCUUCAAGACACAAUCAACGACUUGCUCGUUUCAAGAGGGAGAUAUGCCGGUCCUUAAAUCUCUUGAGUUCCAAGUCGUAGCACAUGCCAAUGAUGAUGACAUUAGCUUUGAAUUUGACUUUGGUAGCCUAGGGAACCUCCCUUUCCUUCAGGAAGUCAGAGUCUAUUUAUGGGCUCCACUUGCGGAUUACAAGAAUGCUAAGGAAAUAGCGAAGCGUGCAAUUGAUGUGCUUCCCAACUGCCUUAGGCAUGAUAUCACACAACAGGAUAUGAGGGAUUGGAGUCGGAGAUUCCCAAACUGA